ACCGGCGGCUCGAGUGGUGGCCACUAUUACUGGGCUUAAAGCGUUCGUAGCUGGGUUGUUAAGUCUCUUGGGAAAUCCACCGGCUCAACCGAUGGGCGACCAGGGGAAACUGGCAUUCUAGGGACCGGGAGAGGUGAGAGGUACUCCAGGGGUAGGAGUGAAAUCCUGUAAUCCUUGGGGGACCACCGAUGGCGAAGGCAUCUCACCAGAACGGCUCCGACAGUGAGGAACGAAAGCUGGGGGAGCAAACCG
rnacentral:rRNA from 1 species